GCCGAAGUGGCGGAAUUGGUAGACGCGCUAGGUUCAGGGUCUAGUGGGAGUCCUCCCGUGGGAGUUCAAGUCUCCCCUUCGGCACCA
rnacentral:tRNA from 1 species